UACAGAGGGGGCAAGCGUUGUUCGGAAUUACUGGGCGUAAAGGGCGCGUAGGCGGCCAACUCAGUCGGACGUGAAAUCCCCUGGCUCAACCAGGGAACUGCGUCCGAUACCGGCUGGCUUGAAUCCGGGAGAGGGAUGUGGAAUUCCAGGUGUAGCGGUGAAAUGCGUAGAUAUUCGCAAGAACACCAGUGGCGAAGGCGGCUCACUGGCCCAUUACUGACGCUGAGGCACGAAAGCGUGGGGAGCAAACAGG
rnacentral:rRNA from 1 species